rnacentral:lncRNA from 1 species
AAACAUUCAGGUCCAUAGUAUUUUUAUCAGAUUUUCAACCAUAACAAGUAUAUUUUAGAUGAUCUCAUCUUUGAUCAUCUCAUUUAAAUACAUUUUCAACACUCUUAUGUUCUUUUUAAGUCAUAAAAGAAAAAUCCAUUAUUGUGUUGUCGCUACCAUUAUAAGUAUCAUGUAGUUUUUAUUAUCACUUUUCUUGUUUUUU